CUCUCUUUUUUCGUCACCCUUAGGUCACAGGGUUCACUGCUGGGUGGAGCCUUGAGGCAUGCUGGGGUAUCAAUAACCUCAAUGUUUCACCACACAGUCUUUUUUAAAAGCGCUCUGAAAACAAACACAGAGGCCGGACCGCCAGCUUUAGGACCUACACCACAGCUCUGGACACAGCAGGGAAGCUGGGAUUUUGAGGAUGUCAAGAUCUGGAUUAGCCGUACCAUGAGGAAGUCACAUGAAGAUUUUUUAGAUGCAGCGAACCAGCCAUCCUUCACCUCACAAACGUCCGGGAUAUGGGUCAAACAGGUGUCAUCCUGAAAGUAUUUGGACACAAUUGCAUCAGACCAAAAUGUAUUUUCUUUGCAUCAUUUACAGAAUAUAAAAACAAUUGGUAUUUUCUAACUUUUUUAAG